CGGCGUGCCUAAUACAUGCAAGUAGAACGCUGAAGAGAGGAGCUUGCUCUUCUUGGAUGAGUUGCGAACCGGGUGAGUAACGCGUAGGUAACCUGCCUUGUAGCGGGGGAUAACUAUUGGAAACGAUAGCUAAUACCGCAUAACAAUGGAUGACACAUGUCAUUUAUUUGAAAGGGGCAAUUGCUCCACUACAAGAUGGACCUGCGUUGUAUUAGCUAGUAGGUGAGGUAACGGCUCACCUAGGCGACGAUACAUAGCCGACCUGAGAGGGUGAUCGGCCACACUGGGACUGAGACACGGCCCAGACUCCUACGGGAGGCAGCAGUAGGGAAUCUUCGGCAAUGGGGGCAACCCUGACCGAGCAACGCCGCGUGAGUGAAGAAGGUUUUCGGAUCGUAAAGCUCUGUUGUAAGUCAAGAACGAGUGUGAGAGUGGAAAGUUCACACUGUGACGGUAGCUUACCAGAAAGGGACGGCUAACUACGUG
rnacentral:rRNA from 1 species